rnacentral:lncRNA from 1 species
UGCAGGUGUAAACAUUCGAAAUGAAAAAGAAGUUCCCAUUAAGCUGGUAUGUUCAUAUUUGUUUUCUUCUUUUGAACUUUUCACGUGUUAUAUAAUUUCCAAGGAAUGCAAUCCUUUGGAUUCCAUAUUUUAUACGCAAAUUUAAUCUCUCUUGUUGUCAUGUGUUUAGUGUUUUUUUUUUUCUUUUUUCUUUUUUCUUUUUUCGUUGUAGUUUUACUUGUAUAAAUAUAAAUGUUUGUUCAUCUCUGUAAUUUACUUCGUUUAUUUUAUUAAAUGCAUCAUGUUGCUUUCUUGAAUAUUUGUUUCUAUCAUUUUUUGUUUGAUGUUAAAUUUUUUUUUUUUUGAAGGAAUUUUCUUUUAAUUCAUUUCUCGUACUCUAUAGUUUACUCUUCCUGCGUAUAUAUCAAACAAAUUUUCUAAUAGUUUUUGUCUCAAUUUCUUAGUUUGUACUGCUUUCUUUGGAAUUUCAAUAUUCGAUGGUCUCUUCUACUCCUGCGAUGGAUAUUUCAGAAAUACCUGCUUAUGAAGACACUGCUUUUGUUUACAUUGACACUAGAUCUCGUAGUGGGAAAGACUCAUGCAACUCCUCCAUUCGCCAACAGCAAAGUCAAAAAGAAAGAGAUCGGCGAAAAAGACUUAGAUCUGGAUGUAUUGAUCAGCGUAAAAGGAUAAAUGAGCAUAUGAUUCUAGGAAAUAAUUCUUCUGCUGUUGCCCAAUUGCAUGAAUCUAUAAUACAUCAUGAUCCUAAUGCUUCUACUUCAAAUAAAACAAUACAUAAUAUUUCUAAUUUUGAAUUAGAAAGAACUCUUAAUGGAUUGAACGUGCCAUCUAUUGCUUAUGUAUUGCCAACAUCCAUCUAUUGUAAACAUUGUAAUGCUUGUAAAUUUUACAGAGAAACUAAAGGUUUUUGUUGUGCUGACG